rnacentral:rRNA from 1 species
CGACCGGCGCACGGGUGAGUAACACGUAUCCAACCUGCCGUCUACUCUUGGACAGCCUUCUGAAAGGAAGAUUAAUACAAGGUGGCAUCAUGAGUCCGCAUGUUCACAUGAUUAAAGGUAUUCCGGUAGACGAUGGGGAUGCGUUCCAUUAGAUAGUAGGCGGGGUAACGGCCCACCUAGUCUUCGAUGGAUAGGGGUUCUGAGAGGAAGGUCCCCCACAUUGGAACUGAGACACGGUCCAAACUCCUACGGGAGGCAGCAUG